CCGUCUAAGGCCUGUGCCUGCGAAGCGCAGGGAGGAAGGGUGGCAGGUGUGCUGAGUUGCUUCCUUCUCAGAGAUCGUUUCUUUUUCAGGGGGUGUUGCUUUUUGCCUACACUCCACGACUUGUCGAAGGGUGUUGGUUGUGGCCAUUUGGAAGUGUCGAGACACACCAGAGAAGGGUUAGGAAGUCUUUGAGGACGCGUGGUAACAGACGAGAUUUGAGGUGGAAGGGCCGGGGAAAUGCCUACUAAAGCCUGUUGCUAUUACUUAAAUUGCUGCCUUAAGAGACUCCUAACAUGGGCCCAAGGCAUUUGAGCUAAAUGAAUAAACUGGGCUUUGUGCCUUGUCAAGUCAUUUGCACUUCAGUGAGAAGCCUUUCCUUAAAGAGGGGCAUUUUAUGCAGGAAGAAUAAUAAAGGAGGAAUGAGGAGACAGGAAAAUGGGGGGGAGGGGCGGGUAGGGUGGGUGUGUAUUAGAAGCAAACUUCCUGCCUCAUUCUGUGGCUGGGCUUCCUAAUCUUUUGGGGGUCCUUUUGAGACUCAGUGAAAGUUUCCUCAUUAUGAUGCUGCUCCCCAAACAGCUCUGGAAUUCACCCACUUCUGAGGGAUUGGGAGCCAGAAUUCUUCAUCAGUGUCUUAUCCUCAAGAUCUUCCCUCUCCCAACCCCAUCUUGGAUGAUUUAACUUCUAUGGGGAUUUUUUUUUUUUAACUGCCACAAGGUAUAUAAUCUUCGAAAGUGAAUUUCCUCCUUGUUUCUUUUGAAAGAUAUUUUUAAACAUGGAGAGAACAAGUGAUGUAUAACAACUCUAUCAGAAGUUCAUUAUGUGGAAAAUAAGAAAAAAGUGUAAAGAAAAAAACACAAAACCUGUAAUCCCAAACCCUAAAGCACGAAGGAGUGCCUGGAGCUGCCUGCAGGCUGUGUGGAAGAUGAAGCUGGCAUCCUGGAGGACAGAGCAGAGACACAGAGUGAGUCAGCAUAUGCAUGCAUGAACGGAGGACAAUGCCAUAUGGAUCCCUUUCUGGGUAGUGCAGAAGGGCUCUACAUAUAUCACUUGGAGUGCUUCUGUAAGGAAGCCAAGAAGCAUCUUCCAACAUCAUCAACUAAUGAAGACUUUAGAAGAAGGCUAAGACAUGCCUCUCAGCAAGCAAAUCCUGGCAGACAUAGUUAAAUUAACUGAUUUAGCAUAUCUUUAUCUAGCACACUAAUAAUUGCACUAGAAUUAAGGAUAGUGGUUGUCAAUUCUGUCUGCACAAAUUACAGUUGGGGAACUUAAAAAUACAUAUGUCCAGCCUCCACCCUAGAACAGUCAAUCAAAAUCUUUGGAUCAGGUAUUUGUAAUUUUUAUUUUAUUUAUUUAUUUUUGGCCACACGGCGAGGCUUGCAGGUUGUUAGUUCCCCAACCAGGGACUGAACCCACGCCCUCAGCAGUGAAAGAGUGGGGUCCUGACCACUGGACUGCCAGGGAAUUCCCAAGUAUUAGUAAUUUUUAAAAGCUCCCUAUGUGAUUCUAAUGGACAACCAGU